UUUUAUUUCACAUUCUAAGUCCUCAGAGUGCCGUAAAACAAGAAAAUACUGUAGACAGGAUGAGGAAACAAGAAUGAUUCAGGGAUGAUUUUAUGAUAUUAAUCUUCUGAAACAAAACUCUCACGGUGUAUGUAUAUAGUUUGAGACGUGGUUCCAACUUUGGUUUUUGAA